UCUGGGUGUGGUGGCGCACGACUGUGAUCCCAGCAUUUUGGGAAGCUGAGACAGGAGCAUCGCUAGUUCAAAGCCAGCCUCAGCAACAGCAAGGCACUAAGCAACUCAGUGAGAUCCUGUCUCCA
rnacentral:sRNA from 1 species